UACGUAGGGGGCAAGCGUUGUUCGGAUUUAUUGGGCGUAAAGAGCGCGUAGGCGGCCAUGUAGGUCAGUUGUGAAAACUCGAGGCUCAACCUCGAGACGCCGAUGGAAACCGCAUGGCUAGAGUCCGGAAGAGGAGAGUGGAAUUCCUGGUGUAGCGGUGAAAUGCGCAGAUAUCAGGAAGAACACCCGUGGCGAAGGCGGCUCUCUAGUACGGUACUGACGCUGAGACGCGAAAGCGUGGGGAGCAAACAGG
rnacentral:rRNA from 1 species